rnacentral:rRNA from 1 species
UACGUAGGUGGCAAGCGUUGUCCGGAAUUAUUGGGCGUAAAGCGCGCGCAGGCGGUCCUUUAAGUCUGAUGUGAAAGCCCACGGCUCAACCGUGGAGGGUCAUUGGAAACUGGGGGACUUGAGUACAGAAGAGAAGAGUGGAAUUCCACGUGUAGCGGUGAAAUGCGUAGAGAUGUGGAGGAACACCAGUGGCGAAGGCGACUCUUUGGUCUGUAACUGACGCUGAGGCGCGAAAGCGCGGGGAGCGAACGGG